rnacentral:rRNA from 1 species
UACGUAGGGUGCAAGCGUUGUCCGGAAUUAUUGGGCGUAAAGAGCUCGUAGGCGGUCUGUCGCGUCGGCUGUGAAAUCCCGAGGCUCAACCUCGGGUCUGCAGUCGAUACGGGCAAACUAGAGUAUUGCAGGGGAGACCGGAAUUCCUGGUGUAGCGGUGAAAUGCGCAGAUAUCAGGAGGAACACCGGUGGCGAAGGCGGGUCUCUGGGCAAUAACUGACGCUGAGGAGCGAAAGCUAGGGGAGCAAACGGG